CCUACGGGUGGCAGCAGUGAGGAAUAUUGGUCAAUGGACGAGAGCCUGAACCAGCCAAGUAGCGUGAAGGAUGACUGCCCUAUGGGUUGUAAACUUCUUUUAUAUGGGAAUAAAAUGCUCCACGUGUGGGAUUUUGCAUGUACCAUAUGAAUAAGGAUCGGCUAACUCCGUGCCAACAGCCGCGGUAAUACGGAGGAUCCGAGCGUUAUCCGGAUUUAUUGGGUUUAAAGGGAGCGUAGGCGGGUUGUUAAGUCAGUUGUGAAAGUUUGCGGCUCAACCGUAAAAUUGCAGUUGAAACUGGCAGUCGUGAGUACAGUAGAGGUAGGCGGAAUUCGUGGUGUAGCGGUGAAAUGCUUAGAUAUCACGAAGAACUCCGAUUGCGAAGGCAGCUCGCUGGACUGCAACUGACACUGAGGCUCGAAAGUGUGGGUAUCAAACAGGAUUAGAUACCCCAGUAGUC
rnacentral:rRNA from 1 species